rnacentral:rRNA from 1 species
UAACUCCAUAUCGGCGGUGGAAACUGAUGAACUAGAGGGUGGUAGGGGUCACGGGAAUUCCCAGUGUAGCGGUGAAAUGCGUAGAUAUUGGGAAGAACACCAGCGGCGAAAGCGCGUGACUGGGCCAUUACUGACACUCAUGGACGAAAGCUAGGGGAGCGAAAGGGAUUAGAUACCCCUGUAGUCCUAGCCGUAAACGAUGGACACUAGGUGUUGCCCGAUCGACCCGGGCAGUGCCGUAGCUAACGCGUUAAGUGUCCCGCCUGGGGAGUACGCACGCAAGUGUGAAACUCAAAGGAAUUGACGGGGGCCCGCACAAGCGGUGGAGUAUGUGGUUUAAUUCGAUGCAACGCGAAGAACCUUACCAGGGCUUGACAUGUCGCGAAUCCCCUUGAAAGGGGGGAGUGCCUUCGGGAGCGCGAGCACAGGUGGUGCAUGGCUGUCGUCAGCUCGUGUCGUGAGAUGUUGGGUUAAGUCCCGCAACGAGCGCAACCCACGUUUCUAGUUGCCAGCAUUCAGUUGGGCACUUUAGAGAGACUGCCGGUGACAAACCGGAGGAAGGUGUGGAUGACGUCAAGUCAGCAUGCCCCUUACGUCCUGGGCUACACACGUACUACAAUGCUUCGGACAGAGGGUUGCCAGCCCGCGAGGGUGCGCUAAUCCCGUAAACCGAGGCUCAGUUCAGAUUGCAGGCUGCAACUCGCCUGCAUGAAGGCGGAAUCGCUAGUAAUCGCCGGUCAGCAUACGGCGGUGAUACGUUCCCGGGCCUUGUACACACCGCCCGUCACACCAUGGGAGUUGGCCACGCCCG